rnacentral:rRNA from 1 species
GAUGAACGCUAGCGGCAGGCUUAACACAUGCGAGUCGAGGGGCAGCGCGGGUAGCAAUACCUGGCGGCGACCGGCAAACGGGUGCGGAACACGUACAGAACCUACCUUGAUCUGGGGAAUAGCCCGAAGAAAUUCGGAUUAACUCCCCAUAAUAUUAUUGGAUGGCAUCAUUUGGUAAUUACAAAUGUAUUGGAUCAAGAUGGCUGUGCGUCACAUUAGCUAGAUGGUAUGGUAACGGCCUACCAAGGCGACGAUGGGUAGCUGGUGUAAGAGCACGACCAGCCACACGGGCACUGAGACACGGGCCCGACUCCUACGGGAGGCAGCAGUGAGGAAUAUUGGUCAAUGGACGCAAGUCUGAACCAGCCAUGCCGCGUGAAGGAUGAAGGCCUUCUGGGUUGUAAACUUCUUUUAUCUGGGAAGAAAACUACGGUUUCUACUGUAGCCGACGGUACCAGAGGAAUAAGCACCGGCUAACUCCGUGCCAGCAGCCGCGGUAAUAC